UACAGAGGGUGCAAGCGUUAAUCGGAGUUAUUGGGCGUAAAGCGUGCGUAGGCGGACACAUAAGUCGGGCGUGAAAUCCCUGGGCUUAACCUGGGAAUUGCGUUCGAUACUGCGUGUCUAGAGUAUGGUAGAGGAAAGUGGAAUUUCCGGUGUAGCGGUGAAAUGCGUAGAUAUCGGAAAGAACAUCAGUGGCGAAGGCGGCUUUCUGGACCAAUACUGACGCUGAGGUACGAAAGCGUGGGGAG
rnacentral:rRNA from 1 species